GCUUUCGGCCACACCACCCUGAAAGUGCCCGAUCUCGUCUAAUCUCAGAGGUGAUCCAGGGCCAGGCCCUGUUAGUACCUGGAUGGGAGUCUGACUGGCAAUACCAGGUGUUUUAGGAC
rnacentral:rRNA from 1 species